ACCUUACCAGGGCUUGACAUCCAGUGCAAAGCUAUAGAGAUAUAGUGGAGGUUAACAUUGAGACAGGUGGUGCAUGGUUGUCGUCAGUUCGUGCCGUGAGGUGUUGGGUUAAGUCCCGCAACGAACGCAACCCUUGUCGUUAGUUACUAACAUUAAGUUGAGGACUCUAACGAGACUGCUAGUGUAAGCUAGAGGAAGGUGGGGAUGACGUCAAAUCAUCAUGCCCCUUAUGUCCUGGGCUACACACGUGCUACAAUGGCUGGUACAAAGAGUCGCAAUCUCGCGAGGGGGAGCUAAUCUCAAAAAGCCAGUCUCAGUUCGGAUUGAAGUCUGCAACUCGACUUCAUGAAGCCGGAAUCACUAGUAAUCGCGAAUCAGCUAUGUCGCGGUGAAUACGUUCUCGGGUCUUGUACACACCGCCCGACACACCACGAGAGUUGGUAAUACCAGAAGUGGGUAGCUUAACCGCAAGGAGAGCACCUCCCAAGGU
rnacentral:rRNA from 1 species